rnacentral:rRNA from 1 species
UACGGAGGAUCCGAGCGUUAUCCGGAAUCAUUGGGUUUAAAGGGUCCGUAGGCGGGAUAAUAAGUCAGUGGUGAAAGUCUGCAGCUCAACUGUAGAACUGCCAUUGAAACUGUUGUCCUUGAGUCAUUAUGAAGUGGUUAGAAUAUGUAGUGUAGCGGUGAAAUGCAUAGAUAUUACAUAGAAUACCGAUUGCGAAGGCAGAUCACUAAUAAUGUACUGACGCUGAUGGACGAAAGCGUAGGUAGCGAACAGG